GCAGACUAGCAACAUACAGAACCAAGAACAUGGACCAUCACGAACAUCUUUCCAAUUUUCCUUAAUAUUUUCCGUAUUUUAAUUUUAUGCAUGAAGAUGAAAUGAUGGUUAUCAUGCAAGAUAUCAAUGAACAAAAGAAAUGCUGACAAGUGCUUACUGAAGAUAGCUUGUGCAAGCCAGGAUGCAUUGUUUGGAUUUACAAUGUGCUGCCCUUAAAGGGGAAAAAGUGGUUAUCAUAAGCCACGACCUAUUUUAUUCAUAAAGCACUGCGAUAAGUGCAGGCUGAGCCAAAGCACACUUGUGGCUUCAGUAGUCAGAUGUUCCCACUUCAGCUCCUGUGGCAAAGAAGCAAGGCAGUCUGGGAACGUCUUGUCACUGUAGCUAAAAGAUCUAGAACUGGUGACACAAACCACAACCUCAGUGUCCUGGAGAGGCCUCUGAUCCCUCUGUUGGGUGACCAGACACCCUACCACCCUCCAUGUCUCUCCAGCCUUUUCCAAAUUAUCUGAGAUGCUCGGCAUUAUUUCAAUAAAUCUCCUUUCUGUUUAAACC
rnacentral:lncRNA from 1 species